rnacentral:sRNA from 1 species
UCUUCAGUUUCCUAGAAGUAUCUGGGCUGGGGCUUUCUCCCUCGUGUUGGCAAAGUGAUCACUUCAAGUGCAUAAGUGAAGGGCUACACAGUAGACACCCAUUCCAUGGUGGGAGCGCAGCCCAGCACAGCAGAGAAGUCGGACUCCCAAUCAGCAGUGGCUGCAGCCUCACCCUCCCCUUUAGGAUGCCUCCUUUAUAGAUAAGCUUCGAAGUGAGGUGAUCCAGUUGGACACCAGGGCAACUUAGUGAAAUCACAAGAAUCCAGGCCUACCAUGGGACGUCCCCUCUGCUAACACCAGCAUGAAAGAUCAGCACCCGGAAAAGACCACAGUGACCAGAGAUCCCUGCAUGUGACCCCAACACACAAAUGCCUGUGGCUCCAAGGGAUGCUGCACCACUGUGACAGUCUUGGAAUUCUAACUUCAUGUCUUUCUCACAGCUUGCAAAACAACACUCCCAAUGUUCAGUCAAGUCUCAAAGGAAAGGGGUCAAGUGAUUCGAACUACCUAAACUAGCUCCAUUCUUGUGCAAACUAUUUUCUUUCUCUGAAAGCCAAAUACUUGUUCUCAAAUCUGUGAGUAGUUAAUAAGUCGAGGUGUGCUGAAUAGCAUCACAACCAUAGGAAGCCACCCAUGGGUGACAUCGGGUGAGCUCUCUGGGGAUGAAUGUGCCUGUGAACCCAGGAAAGUGCCCUUCUCAAUGAUAGGUAUCUCCUCAGUGCUGUCAGCUGUGGUGUGUAACACCUGUUGAGGGGGCGAUGGCACCUCUCCUGUCUUGACUUCUCAGAAACACGAGGGCAAGAGCUACAACAAACAAACAGCAGGAUUGUCUGUAGGUCUUUUAUGCUGCUCCUGUGAGAGGAACUUUGGUAUAGAAAAAUAUCCCAUGUUAGAAAGACAUUUAUCCUUCCCAAGAUCAAAUGGAGCUCAAAGCACAUUGCAAGUCCUCUUCCAAGUCUUUACCGGUCAGUCUACGAUUUCCCAGAAGAGGGGCCUUUUCCCCUACAGAGGUCUGGAUGUCACCAAAGACUAUUAUCUCACUGUGAUAUGCUAUCUACCGCCAGGCUGAGGAUUGCUCUCCCACUCUUCAUGCUCUGGGAGUUAGUAUGCCCUGUCUUCCUGGUUCUGAUCUAGAUGGUAAGCUUGUGAUUUUCCAAACCUCGGAAAACAGUCCCGGCAAUCCUAGCACUGUUCCAAAUGAUCUGUUAUGUCCAGUGUCAGUUCUCACAAUAAGUUCAUGAGGUAAGAAAUAUCAAUCCCAUCUUCCAAAGGAGGAAGUACGGGCCUGGGAAGGACAACUACUUUGAGUGGUGGAGUCUGGAUUAAGGCAAACCAUUUGCUCCAGGAACACCCAGGGCCAGCUCUAUCUAUCUAUCUGGAUGCCUCCUUAAGUCUCUUAUCUGAGAAGGCUUUUCAGCAGGAUAACUGUCCAGGCCCUUCAGGAAUCUCCCUUAGAUCUCUCAAUAGAAUUUCACUGAUAGGUCUUGAUAACCUCAAGCCCACGGGCGUCUUAUAGCAGGCUGAGACGCUAACAAGAAAGCCUAUGCUUUGCCUCAAAUGAGCUUUGGGUUUCCCCCCCAAAAAAGAGGAAAUGGUCUAAAGUUCAUUCAACAUUUUUUCUUUCAGAGAUUUCUUGCUGCUCAAAAUAAAUUAGCUAAGUAGGGUGAUUCAUGACACCAAGUUUCAAAAGGCUGUCCCUACAUGACCAGACAGCUUUGCCAAGCUCUGUGACCACAGGCUGUGUACAUAAUUACAGCAGCCAUCUUGGAGAUUCCUAGAGCUGAGAGAUCUUGUGGGCAAAUGAAAAUGGAUAGCCGCAAGCAUUUUCACAAUCAUGACAGCCUCAAACACAUGUAGAGGAGAAGGAAGUCCAUGUAAACAAAGCUGGUCUGAGUUUAAAAUUUAAGAACAGGUGUUUAUAGUGAACUGCAGAAUAGUCAGGGCUGAUAGGCCCUGUCUCAAAAAUCAAAAGAUAAAACUAAACAAAGCAAAAAGACAAAGGAAAAUCUAGGAGAGUGAACCCUAUAUGCACCUUUUAAUAUUCUACACAGGCCUUUUGCACUAUGUGUUUCCAACGAAUAGUUGUUGCAUAACGAAGGAAACCAACUUAUUAGGUGAAUUGUGGCCUUUGUUGUAUAGGAUGUAUGCUUCCUAAUUGUUAAACGUCUCCAUCUUCACCAUGGUUAAAGAAGAUCAAGUUAUAUGAAGCUAUCUGCAAAAGGUCCCUCUGAUUUCUUACCACCAUCAUAGUAGUAGCAGUAAGGGAGGCCAGCUGUUCUGGGUAUAAAAGUGGAGGGACCAGGUACAGUGCUCUCACUCUCCUGACUCAUCUCUAUAACCCUACCCACAGCUGUACUGGAGGCCAUAAUACAGGUCAGUGUCCUGCCCUGCCUUCUGGGUUUUACCAUCUUAUUCUUUGCUAUCAAUUCAGCCUGUGGGAGUUUCAGGCUACAGCUGGGAAAGAAACACAGAUAGCAGAAGUUUGAGUGGGUAUGGAGCUGCCCUAAGACUAAGGACUUAACAGAAUUGCAGAGUUAGAGAUGUGAGGGAACGAGAGAGUGGACAUAGUUAAGAGUAUUGUGCUACACCAAUCAAAGUAGCUCAGAGGAAGAACAUUCAAUGUUCUUAUCACAAAGAAAUAAUAAGUGUUUAAGAUGAUAGAUAGCUCAGAUAUUCUACAUUGAUUGA